CUGCAGAUGCAAGAAAAAAAGAGUCUUUGUGCUUUCUAUCUGUCUGUCUGUGGCAGCCGAGAUUGAAUGGGGGAAUAUAGGG
rnacentral:snoRNA from 1 species